GACAUAAGAAGAAAUAUAUAUUUAGUCUGUCCCCUGUCCCUGACCCAGAGCUCCUAAAUCCUAAACCCCUUGGAGUUCCCUGGGUGAUAAGAGCAUCCUUUGUUCUAAUGAGGCAACUCUUGAUGGUCU
rnacentral:snoRNA from 1 species